rnacentral:sRNA from 1 species
UCUUGUUUGUGCACUUCAAGGAAUCUAUCCACCCU